rnacentral:rRNA from 1 species
GACGAACGCUGGCGGCGUGCUUAACACAUGCAAGUCGAACGGGAUCCCAAGGCUUUUUGUUUCUGGUGAGUGGGGCGAACGGGUGGGUAACACGUUAGUAACCUGCCCCCUUCUUCUGGGGAACCGCCUGAAAGUGUGGCUAAUACAGGAUAUUUAAGGCUGGCCGCAUGAUUGGUUUGUGAAAUGGUUUGUUCUGGUGGGGGAUGGGCGCACGGCCUAUUGGGUGGUUGGUGGGGUGAUGGCCUCCAAAGGCGGUGACUGGUAGGAGGCCUGGGAGGGUGGGCGGGCACACUGGAACUGGGAUACGGUCCAGAGGCAGACGGGAGGCGGCAGUGGGGGAUUAUGGACAAUGGGCGGAAGCCUGAUGCAGCGGCGCGGCAUGAGGGAUGAAGGCUUUUGAGUUGUAAUUCUCGUUCGCUAGGUUGAAAGGCCAUGCUUUGGGUGUGGUUGAUUUGAACUAGUAAAGAAGUACCGGCUAACUACGUG